GGCCCCAUCGUCUAGCGGUUAGGACGCCGCCCUCUCACGGCGGAAACAGGGGUUCGAUUCCCCUUGGGGCUA
rnacentral:tRNA from 1 species